rnacentral:rRNA from 1 species
AGGAUAAACGCUGGCGGCGUGCCUAACACAUGCAAGUCGAACGUCUCUUCUUUCGGGAAGAGGAGUGGCGGACGGGUGAGGAACACGUGGGAACCUGCCCUUCAGUGAGGAAUACCGGCGAGAAAUCGCCGACAAGACCGCAUAGGCUCGAUGCAAGUCGAGCAAAGCUCUUUCGAGAGAGGGAGCGCCACACGAGGAGCCUGCGCCCGAUUAGCUAGCUGGUGGAGUAACGGUUCACCAGGGCGACGAUCGGUAGCUGGUCUGAGAGGACGAUCAGCCACACUGGGAUUGAGAACGGCCCAGACUCCUACGGGGGGCAGCAGUGAGGAAUUUUCGUCAAUGGGGCAACCCUGAACGAGCAACGCCGCGUGCAGGAAGAAGGUUUUCGGAUCGUAAACUGCUUUUCUCGGGGAAGAGAAUGGACGGUACCCGAGGAAUCAGCCCCGGCUAACUACGUGCCAGCAGCCGC